GGCGCUAUAGUGUAGUGGUUAUCACUUGGGAUUCUGAGCAGUGUUCCCAAAACCCAGGUUCGAGCCCUGGUAGCGCCU
rnacentral:tRNA from 1 species